rnacentral:rRNA from 1 species
GAUGAACGCUAGCGGCAGGCUUAAUACAUGCAAGUCGAGGGGCAGCAGGACUGUAGCAAUACAGUUGCUGGCGACCGGCAAACGGGUGCGGAACGCGUACGCAACCUACCCAAAACUGGGGGAUAGCCCGGGGAAACCCGGAUUAAUACCUCGUAACCUUUUUAAGUGGCAUCACUUGAUAAGUAUAGCUCCGGCGGUUUUGGAUGGGCGUGCGCCUGAUUAGGUAGUUGGUGCGGGUAACGGCCCACCAAGCCUGCGAUCAGUAACUGGUGUGAGAGCACGACCAGUCACACGGGCACUGAGACACGGGCCCGACUCCUACGGGAGGCAGCAGUAAGGAAUAUUGGUCAAUGGACGCAAGUCUGAACCAGCCAUGCCGCGUGAAGGAUGAAGGUCCUCUGGAUUGUAAACUUCUUUUAUGGGGGACGAAACCCGGAUAUUCUUAUCCGAUUGACGGUACCUCAGGAAUAAGCACCGGCUAACUCCGUG